UCAGGUCUCCAAGGUGAA
rnacentral:snRNA from 1 species